GGUAAAUGGUGUCAAAAUGUGGCAGCGCUGCAGCACUAAGAAUUACGGUAAGUAUUUACGACACUGGUUGCUAGGCGCCAACUGUAUGUCGACGGUGUUUGGAUCAACUCUGAACUGCAGGGACUCACUUGUCGAACCAGCUACCAAAGACUACAAAAUAAACGACUAAUGGCCCAUGUGAUCAAAAGUAACUCAGCUCACGUGAGCAGAAAUGCUCAUCUUGGCACUCAGCGUCUUGGAUCUCAAUCCCUAUCUCAUACAGGAUCCCAAGAAUUUCUGUUUGAUGACCGAGGAAUGCUUCUUCCGCACUGCAUCCUGGGAAGUUUGGAUGACUUUAGGAAGUAUCUGGUCACAAGAGGAGAGACAGAGCUGGCGAAGCAAAUACCAACUUCCCAUGGAGACCCUCCAUCCCAGGUGCUUGGGAAGCAACCUUCUGAGAUGGCCCAGAGCAAGCGAAACAUUCCUUUUGGUCAAAGAGACUUGAAGGCAAAUGCUCUGCAGAAUUGGGAUGCAUAUAUAAGACUCAAAAGACGACAGCAGAACGUCUUAUCUGGCCGGCUCCAAAGGCCUGUGGAAAACUUACUGAUGAACCGAGAUUAUGGUUUCAAAGAAAUUCAGAAGCAGAGAGAACUUCUAAGACAUGUCAUGCCAACCAUCCAGUCAGGAUAUGGGUACCAUGUGGGAAGUGAGUUUUGGAGUCUCCCACAGAGCUAUGGAAAUGAACUAAGCGGCAUCAGAGCCACACUUAACCUGACGGAGCAAGGCAAACCAAAACUUGUCACACUUAUCGGACAACCACAGAGCAUACUUCAGGAAUCAGGAAUCACUUGUGCUGAGAAGCUGCGUCCAGUGUCUCGGAUUUGGGACCCAAAUACCAACCUGCUUCGCCAUCGUAACUCAAUUAAAAAAGUUGUCGGAGGCAUUGACAUCAACAGGACGGACUUCAGCAAGCUGGAGGUGAUUGGUUCAAACAAACCAGUUGCCAAAGAGCGCCACAACCGCUUGUGGAAGGAGGAGGUGGGCGAGAACAAGGAGAGCUGCAAGAUUAACAACGAAAAUGUAGAUCUGAUGACACAUUACGAUGAUCGUCAGUCUCACAGUUUGCUCAUUCCUGCCUUGAUGUUUGCUGGCCAGCUUGCCUGCUGGGCUGGAAACUCUCCUUGUCGGCAGGGAGAGGUAAGCAUCAGCGCAACCGUAACGUUUGAGGCGGCUGUUGGCGAGCGAGUCUUGUCUUACCUUCAUAUACACAACGUGGGCAGCACUGCCAUCCUCUUCAGCUGGCAGAAUCUUCCCAUUCAACCGAAUUUCUCGAACCUACAGUCACAUUCGGACAACCCGCACUUCUACUUCAAUACCACCUCUGGUGUCAUCUAUCCAGGUGGCACCAAGCAGGUGGAGUUUAUAUUUAAGUCCGCGAGAAUCGGCAUUGUAACUGAACAGUGGCAGCUCAGCACCCACCCUUUACUGCUGCAAGGAGCCUCCAUUCAGGUCACACUAAAGGGGGUGUCGCUCUACCAGGAUGCAACUGAAAAACAGAGGGAAUUCCUACAGACAAAGUUGGAACAGAGAGUACGACAGGAAAUGUGUCAGAUGAUAAUGUACGAUGUGCUGCGGGGAAUCCGGAGUCCAGAGAGAUCCGUCUCUCCUGCAGAGCCAUACAAGUUGCAGUACCUUGAUCAGACAGAGGAGGACCUAAAGAAGCUUUUGCAAGAAAUGAAUCCAGAACGUGUUUGGAAGCCCUCUGGAACUCCUGGACAGAUAACCACAGAGAACCAGACCACACACAUGCAGGAGAGAUGUCAGAGUGAUGGGGCGCGCAACCGUUGACUGCGCCCCUGAGCUGAGGCUGGGGAUGUUCGGUGCCUUGCUCACGGGCACCUCAACAGUAGUCAGAUGAUCCUCUGAUGGAUGACCAAAUGGACAGCAUGCGUGUAUCCAUGGAUAAGUGCAAUGAUGGAGAUGAGCAAGACGACACAAUAGAAACAGACGACUGAACAUACUGUAUAUUUAAUGGCCAUUAGGUACAUUACAUCUUUCUUUUCUAAGAAAAGAACCUCAUUCAAUUUAGAAUGUUAAUAAACAAUGAUCACUUGAUUGACAACUCAAGGGAUAUUUAUUUACCAAUAUAUUUUUUGUGGCAGAUUGCACCGGCUUACAACUUGUUCAUUGAAAACUGCGAUAUUUUCUUGGUGAUAGCACAAUUUUAUUGGAUUGUAUAACUCGGUGGCUCUUAAAACUUUUUUCACGAAAUACCACCUCAGAAAAACUUCCACAGCGUAUCCGCGGGAUCUUAAAAAGUUUUAAAAAAGUCUUAAAUCCAUCCAUCCAUCCAUCUUUAACCGCUUAUUCGGAAUCGGAUCGCGGGGACAACAGCUCCAACAGAGACCCCCAGACUUCCCUCUCCAGAGCAACAUUAGCAACUUCCUCCUGGGGGAUCCUGAAGCGUUCCCAGGCCAGAGAGGAGAUGUAAUCACCCCCAUCUAGUUCUUGGCCUGCCGCGGGGUCUCCUCCCAGUGGGACGUGCAACGAGGACCUCCCAAGGGAGACACUCGUGAGGCAUCCGCACGAGAUGCUCGAACCACCUAAGCUGGUUCCUUUCCAAGCGAAGGAGCAGCGGCUCUACUCCGAAUCUUUCUCGGGUGACUCAACUUCUCACACUAUAUCUAAGGGAGAUGCCAGCCACCCUUUUGAAGAAAUUAAUUUCGGCAGCUUUUGUCCCCGAUGUUAUUCUUUCGGUCAUGACCCACACUUCAUGACCAUAGGUAAGAGUAGGAAUAGCUCGGUAGACCAAGAGGUUUGUCUUUUAGCUCAGCUCUCGUUUCGUCUCAACAGUGCGGCAGAGAGACUGCAAUACUGCCCCAGCUGCUCCGAUUCUCCCGCUGAUUUCUUUCUCCAUCUUUCCCUCACUCGUGAACAAGACCCCGAGAUACUUAAACUCCACCUGGGACAGAGUCUUGUUCUCUACCUGGACUGUACAAACCAUCUUAGAACCAUGGCCUCAGAUUUGGAGAUGCUGAUCCUCAUUCCACCCGCUGAACACUCGGCUACAAACCGAUCCAGUGAGAGCUGAAGGUCACGAACCGGAGGUGCCAUCAGGACCACAUCAUCUGCAAAAAGCAGUGACACAACCUUUAGCCCCCCGAGACGUAUACCCUCUCCCCCAUGGUCACGACUCUGCCUAGAAAUCCUGUCCAUGAAAAUCACAAGUCUUAAAUCCAUUAAUUUGAAUUUAAGGCCUUAAACUGUCUAAUAUUGUCCUAAAAUCUCAUAAAAGGUCUUAAAUACGAUUUUGAAAGGUCUUAAAAAUCUAUAUUGACGUUAAUUUUAUUUAAAACAUGGAUAAACUUCAGUCUCGCUUUGAAAUGUUUCGAUUUUUGAGGACGUUAUUAGGCGGAACUAACUGCUGCCUGGUCAGAAGUUAUAGUUUGGCAAUUGUUUUAUUCUGACUUCCAAACAAAUCUUGGUUCGCAAUUUGUAUUCCAAUGUGAAAGAGUUGUGAAUAAACUCAAAUACUUUGCAAGUAA